rnacentral:rRNA from 1 species
GCUCCAUCAAGGAAGAUUGAUGGAGGUUAGGAUUUCCCAACCUAUGUAUGUAUCAUAAAAAGUCUCCAAAUAUACCACUCUGAAGAUCUAGAAUUCCCUUAUGUCAAGAUCUACGGGCUAAGGGACAAUCUCAUGUAGAUAGUUUCUAUGGGGCAUAGGCCUCCCAAAAGGUAACGGAGGCGUCCAAAGGUUUCCUCGGGCUGGAAGAAGAUUGGCCCUCGCAAAAGCAGAAUGGAGCGUAACUGCAAGACCCACCCGUCGAGCAGGGACGACAAUCGACCUAAACUUAAACCUAACCUCUUGAAAGCUAUAAAAUAGAAAGUGUCUAAAAUCAACGGGAAA